UCCCUGUUCUUUGUGCUCGUGGAGUGGGAAUUAGUGGCUUUCGCUCUCCCCAUGGUGAAUGAAGGGAGGCAUGGAGUGAGAAUUAGUGACUUCGGCUCUCCCCAUGGUGAAUAAAGGGAGGCAUAGAGUGAGAAAUUAGUGGUUCCCGCUCUCCCCAUGGUGAGGGAAGGCGAGGUGGUCAAAAUGGUCAAGGAAGGCGAGGUGGUCAAAAUGGUCAAGGAAGGCGAUGUGGUCAACUAACAGAGUUGAUCACAU
rnacentral:lncRNA from 1 species